UAAUACGUAGGGGGCGAGCGUUGUCCGGAUUCAUUGGGCGUAAAGCGCGCGUAGGCGGCUUCGUAAGUCGGCCGUGAAAUCUCCAGGCUUAACUUGGAGGGGUCGGGCGAGACUGCGGAGCUCGAGGUGGGCAGAGGGCAGUGGAAUUCCGGGUGUAGUGGUGGAAUGCGUAGAGAUCCGGAGGAACACCAGUGGCGAAGGCGGCUGCCUGGGCCUGGCCUGACGCUGAGGCGCGAAAGCGUGGGGAGCGAUCCGGAUUAGAUACCCGGGUAGUCCACGCCGUAAACGAUGGGCACUAGGUGUCGGGGGUAUCGACCCCCUCGGUGCCGCCGCUAACGCAAUAAGUGCCCCGCCUGGGGAGUACGGCCGCAAGGCUA
rnacentral:rRNA from 1 species